rnacentral:tRNA from 1 species
GCAUCGGUGGUUCAGUCGUAGAAUUCUCGCCUGCCACGCGGGAGGCCCGGGUUCGAUUCCCGGCCGAUGCA